CGUGCCGUGAGGUGUUGGUAAGUCCCGCAACGAGCGCAACCCCCGCCGUUAGUUGCCAGCGGUUCGGCCGGGCACUCUAACGGGACUGCCCGCGAAAGCGGGAGGAAGAGGGGACGACGUCUGGUCAGCAUGGCCCUUACGGCCUGGGCGACACACGUGCUACAAUGCCCACUACAAAGCGAUGCCACCCGGCAACGGGGAGCUAAUCGCAAAAAGGUGGGCCCAGUUCGGAUUGGGGUCUGCAACCCGACCCCAUGAAGCCGGAAUCGCUAGUAAUCGCGGAUCAGCCAUGCCGCGGUGAAUACGUUCCCGGGCCUU
rnacentral:rRNA from 1 species